rnacentral:rRNA from 1 species
CCUACGGGAGGCAGCAGUGGGGAAUUUUGGACAAUGGGCGAAAGCCUGAUCCAGCAAUGCCGCGUGUGGGAAGAAGGCCUUCGGGUUGUAAACCACUUUUGUACGGAACGAAAAGGUCUGCUUUAAUAAAGCGGGCUCAUGACGGUACCGUAAGAAUAAGCACCGGCUAACUACGUGCCAGCAGCCGCGGUAAUACGUAGGGUGCGAGCGUUAAUCGGAAUUACUGGGCGUAAAGCGUGCGCAGGCGGUUAUAUAAGACAGUUGUGAAAUCCCCGGGCUCAACCUGGGAAUUGCAUCUGUGACUGUAUAGCUAGAGUACGGUAGAGGGGGAUGGAAUUCCGCGUGUAGCAGUGAAAUGCGUAGAUAUGCGGAGGAACACCGAUGGCGAAGGCAAUCCCCUGGACCUGUACUGACGCUCAUGCACGAAAGCGUGGGGAGCAAACAGGAUUAGAUACCCUGGUAGUCCACGCCCUAAACGAUGUCAACUGGUUGUUGGGUGCAUUAGUACUCAGUAACGAAGCUAACGCGUGAAGUUGACCGCCUGGGGAGUACGGCCGCAAGGUUGAAACUUAAAUGAAUUGAGG